UGCCGAGGAAGGACGUUGUUACCGUCCGGAUCAGGCCGUGCCGUGCUAUUUCCUGCCCGCUUAUAGUUGAGGCAUAAAAGAAUCCUACCAUUUACGAAACAAAUAGAAAAAAAAACGAAUAUCAAAAGCAUACAUAGUACUUCAAAAAAUAACGAGUGAGAGCACCGAACAGCAAGCUAGAGAAUCAGUGUAGAAAAUUAUGUGCAGUCCAAGUGUGUUUGUGCUUCGUGGUGAGCACUCGAAGGCCUCAGAGCAUGAGUGAACCACCGGGUCAGUGACCAUUCCAUGUCGACCCCGUGAAUCAUGUCAGGUCACAGCCUCCCAGUUCAUCUCCCUCGCUGAGUCUCGACACCCGCUGAUAUGGAUCUCCUUACCUGCGUCAUCAUCUUCGCUCACCUGCUCUUCACCGCCACUGCCACAGGGUCGCAUUUUGAGCGCGUGGAAGGCGUGGUCGGGGGUGACCUGACCUUGCCCUGUGACGUCACGCCGCCUACCAGUGACCGCGUGGCUGUCAUUCUGUGGUACCGUGACAACCACCCAGACG